CUGCACUGUUCGUAACCUGUUUUCAGCCCUCCGUCUGACUCUGGGUUCCAUUCCAGUGCCACAGGAAGUGCCAGUGAGGCAGGGGAGCUGUGCUUCCUGUGCACGUCUCCCUGUUCACUCUCUGGCAACACAU